GUGAUGAAAUUGGUCCUUUUGCUCAUCCCUUUGUUCCUCAUUGUCUUAGUCGCGGCGCAUCGCAUGCUCGUGACGGUAGAGGAGGUGGGAAGUGGACGCCGGCAACAGAGCAGCGGAAAGUUGCACU
rnacentral:SRP_RNA from 1 species